rnacentral:sRNA from 1 species
AAAGUACAGGUACAGCAUGUGGGCAUGGCAGUGCAAGCUUCCUGCAUUCUACUCUCACAAUGUUCUUCACCCCUGGCCUGGAGGGACCACCUUCAGA